rnacentral:rRNA from 1 species
UGGGGAAUAUUGCACAAUGGGCGCAAGCCUGAUGCAGCCAUGCCGCGUGUAUGAAGAAGGCCUUCGGGUUGUAAAGUACUUUCAGCGGGGAGGAAGGGAGUAAAGUUAAUACCUUUGCUCAUUGACGUUACCCGCAGAAGAAGCACCGGCUAACUCCGUGCCAGCAGCCGCGGUAAUACGGAGGGUGCAAGCGUUAAUCGGAAUUACUGGGCGUAAAGCGCACGCAGGCGGUUUGUUAAGUCAGAUGUGAAAUCCUCGGGCUCAACCUGGGAACUGCAUCUGAUACUGGCAAGCUUGAGUCUCGUAGAGGGGGGUAGAAUUCCAGGUGUAGCGGUGAAAUGCAUAGAGAUCUGGAGGAAUACCGGUGGCGAAGGCGGCCCCCUGGACAAAGACUGACGCUCAGGUGCGAAAGAGUGGGGAGCAAACAGG